rnacentral:tRNA from 1 species
UGUUUAAUAAUUUAAUUAAAAUAUUAAAUUGCAAAUUUAAAAAAAUUAAUUUUUUUAAAAAUUAAUUUAAACAU